rnacentral:rRNA from 1 species
UACGUAGGUGGCAAGCGUUGUCCGGAUUUAUUGGGUUUAAAGGGUGCGUAGGCGGUCCUAUAAGUCAGUGGUGAAAUACGGCAGCUCAACUGUCGAGGUGCCAUUGAUACUGUAGGACUUGAGUACAGACGAGGUAGGCGGAAUUGACGGUGUAGCGGUGAAAUGCUUAGAUAUCGUCAAGAACACCGAUAGCGAAGGCAACUUACUAGACUGUAACUGACGCUGAGGCACGAAAGUGUGGGGAUCAAACAGG